UGCGUAGGCGGACUAAUAAGUCAGUGGUGAAAUCUUUCGGCUCAACCGAGAAACUGCCAUUGAUACUGUCAGUCUUGAGUUCGGUUGAGGUAGGCGGAAUGUGUAAUGUAGCGGUGAAAUGCUUAGAUAUUACACAGAACACCAAUUGCGUAGGCAGCUUACUAGACCGACACUGACGCUGAGGCACGAAAGCGUGGGGAGCGAACAGGAUUAGAUACCCUGGUAGUCC
rnacentral:rRNA from 1 species